UACGUAGGUGACAAGCGUUGUCCGGAUUUACUGGGCGUAAAGAGCGCGCAGGCGGUCGUUCAAGUCGAGUGUGAAAGCCCCCGGCUCAACUGGGGAGGGUCAUUCGAUACUGAUCGACUCGAAGGCAGGAGAGGGUAGUGGAAUUCCCGGUGUAGUGGUGAAAUGCGUAGAUAUCGGGAGGAACACCAGUGGCGAAGGCGACUACCUGGCCUGUUCUUGACGCUGAGGCGCGAAAAGCUAGGGGAGCAAACGGG
rnacentral:rRNA from 1 species